CAGUCGGAGGAUCUUUACGAUCUGACGGCGUACCUUUUGUAUAAUGGGUCAUCGACUUAGUGUAUCUAGCAAGCUUAAGCCGUUAGGUGUAGGCGCAGCGAAAGCGAGUCUUAAUAGGGCGAUUGAGUUAGAUGCAUUAGACCCGAAACCGAGUGAUCUAGGCAUGACCAGGAUGAAGGUAAGGUAACACUUACUGGAGGUCCGAACCCACACCUGUUGAAAAAGGUCGGGAUGAGUUGUGCCUAGGGGUGAAAGGCCAAUCAAACUCGGAGAUAGCUGGUUCUCUGCGAAAUCUAUUUAGGUAGAGCGUCAUCCGAAUACCCCGGGGGGUAGAGCACUGGAUGGGUAAUGGGGCCCCACAGGCUUACUGAUCCUAACCAAACUCCGAAUACCGAGGAGUACUAGAUGGCAGACACACUGCGGAUGCUAACGUCCGUAGUGGAGAGGGAAACAACCCUAACCUACAGCUAAGGCCCCUAAUUCAUGGCUAAGUGGGAAAGCAGGUGGGACGACCAUAACAACCAGGAGGUUGGCUUAGAAGCAGCCAUCCUUUAAAGAUAGCGUAACAGCUCACUGGUCUAAAUAAGUUGUCCUGCGGCGAAGAUGUAACGGGGCUCAAGCCAUGAGCCGAAGCUUAGGAUGCCGUAAGGCAUGGUAGCAGAGCGUAG
rnacentral:rRNA from 1 species